GAGACCGGACUUCCAUAGCAUAAUACAAAGUAUGUUGUGAGUUAAAACAACUCUUACAUAGUCUUAAUUCAAGGCAAUAGUGUCACUAUCAAACCGAACUUCAAAAGCACAGAGACACUUAAGUGAAUAGAAAAGCAAACGUAAUGCCAUCAAAACUGAUGGAUUAUUCUCCUCAAAUGGGGUUUUCUAGAUAUACCUAUGCUAUUGUGUAAAGCACAAACCAAAGGGAGACUGUUCAGAUGAACAGGUUUGUUAUAAGUGAUAGCACUUUAUUUAUCCAAAGAAGCCGCCACAGGACUUGCAAACAGACAUGGACUACACAAGAUUGUAUUAUGCAAAGGGCUUGUGAGUAGUCUACCGAGUUAUGCUCCAUAAAUGUUGAAUUACAACUCCAAUUUAUCGAAUCAUUAACUC
rnacentral:lncRNA from 1 species